CUGGACCGUGAGUCUGGGCUGGGCACGGGAAUGGGCACAGCUGGACGACAGAGUCUGGGCUGGGCACGGGAAUGGGCACAGCUGGACUGUGAGUCUUGGCUGGGCACGGGAGGGGGCACGGCUGGACCGUGAAUCUGGGCUGGGCACAGCUGGACACAGAGUCUGGGCUGGGCACGGGUGGGGGCACGGCUGGACCGUGAGUCUCGGCUGGGCACAGCUGGACACAGAGUCUGGGCUGGGCACGGGAAUGGGCACAGCUGGACACAGAGUCUGGGCUGGGCACGGGAAUGGGCACAGAGUCUUGGCUGGCCAUGGCUGGGCACAGCUGGAUAGGCUCUGUUCAUGGCACAGGAGUGGGCACAGCUGGACACAGAGCCUGGGCUGGGCACAGCUGGACACUGAGCCAAGGGUGGGGACACAGAGUCGGGGUUGGGAAGGGGGUCUGAGCUCAUGGAGGCCCAAGGCCCAGUUUUUCCUGCCAAGGAGUUGCCCCUGGAGCUCCUCCUGCCAGGCCCAAGGGGCAGCAGAGGGCAGGAGCAGGGAAUGGUGCAGUUGGUCUGGUUGGGAACAUGGAGAUCAUGGAGUCCAACCGUCCCCAGCACUGCCAGGGCCACCACUGCCCAUGUCCCCGCGUGCCACAUCCACACAGCUUUGAAAUCCCUCUGGGGGUUGGGGACUCCAGCCUGUGCCAGGCCUGGGGAGCCCUUUCCAGGAGGAAUUUUCCCAAUAUCCAGCCUAAACCUUCCCUGCUGCAACUCGAGGCCAUUUCCUCUCAUCCUGUCCCUCGCUGGGAUUAGAGCCACCCUGGGUCCUUUCCCUGGGGCUGAGGUGACCCUGGGCAGGACCAGGCCCUUGGUUGGUUCAGGUUCUGGAGGUGUCCCUUUUACAGAAUCCCAGGAUUUUGGAUGGGAAUGUCCUUUUCCUGGGCUUGAGGUGACUCAAGGCCCUUGGUUGGAUUGGGUUCUGGAGGUGUCUCUUUACAGAAUCCCAGGAUUUUGGGUGGGAAUGUCCUUGUCCUGGGCUGAGGUGACUCCGGGCCCU
rnacentral:lncRNA from 1 species